GCGGUUGGAGGAAUGGCAGUGAUCACACAUCAGCUGCUGGGAAGAUCUGAAUUCUCGUUUCAGGUCACUAUCCGAAAAGCUAAAUUUGCUGUAUAGUAAGGAUCAGGAGAUCUGAUCCUGAUUGCAGAACCUUCCCUGAUUACAGAAUCUUGGGAUUGUUGAGAGGAUUACAUGUAAAGUACCAGGCCAGUGCAUGGCACAUGUUGUAUCUCCCACUUCACCCUUCUAGACCAUCCCAGAAGAUUAUAAGAUUUAUUUCAUCUGGGAAAUCACUAGGAGUUCUUGGAAGGGAAAGAAGGAAGAUUGAUGGUUGGAAUAAAAACAGGGUUGAAUGAGUUCCAAAAAGCAGGGUUAUCAACCUCGUGGACAACAAUCUGCAGAAGAAGACAACUUUAAAAAACCAACUAGAAGAAACAUGCAGAGAAGUAAGAUGAGAGGGGCCUCUUCAGGAAAGACAGCUGGUCCCCAGCAGAAAAAUCUAGAACCAGCUCUCCCAGGAAGAUGGGGGUGUCACUCUGCAGAGAACCCCCCUUUAGGAUCCGUGAGGAAGACCAGAAAGAACAAACAGAAGACUCCUGGAAACAGAGACGGUGGCAGUACCAGUGAAGCACCUCAGCCCCCUUGGAAGAAAAGGGCCCGGGCUGACCCCACUGUUGAAAGCAAGGAGGCAUUUAAGAAUAGAAUGGAAGUUAAAGUGAAGAUUCCUGAAGAAUUAAAACCAUGGCUUGUUGAGGAUUGGGACUUAGUUACCAGGCAGAAGCAGCUGUUCUAACACCCUGCUAAGAAAAAUGUAGAUGCAAUUCUGGAGGAGUAUGCAAAUUGCAAGAAAUCGCAGGGAAAUGUUGAUAAUAAAGGAAUAUGCAGUUAAUGAAGUUGUAGCAGGAAUAAAAGAAUAUUUCAAUGUGAUGUUGGGCACUCAGCUGCUGUACAAAUUUGAGAGGCCCCAGUAUGCUGAAAUCCUUUUGGCUCACCCUGAUGUUCCAAUGUCCCAGGUUUAUGGAGCACCACACCUACUGAGAUUAUUUGUAAGAAUUGGAGCAAUGUUGGCCUAUACACCCCUUGAUGAGAAAAGCCUUGCGUUAUUGUUAGGCUAUUUGCAUGCUUUCCUAAAACAUCUGGCAAAGAUUUCUGCAUCUCUCUUUACUGCCAGUGAUUACAAAGUGGCUUCUGCUAAGUACCAACGCAAAGCCCUGUGAGCGUCUACAGACAGCUCACCAUUUUUGUUCUGUAUCUGUAAACACUUUCUGUUCUUAGUCUUUUUCUUGUAAAACUGAUGUUCUUUAAA